GAUGAGCGCUGGCGGCGUGCCUAAUACAUGCAAGUCGAGCGAACAGAUGAGGAGCUUGCUCCUCUGACGUUAGCGGCGGACGGGUGAGUAACACGUGGAUAACCUACCUAUAAGACUGGGAUAACUUCGGGAAACCGGAGCUAAUACCGGAUAGUAUAUUGAACCGCAUGGUUCAAUAGUGAAAGACGGUUUUGCUGUCACUUAUAGAUGGAUCCGCGCCGCAUUAGCUAGUUGGUAAGGUAACGGCUUACCAAGGCAACGAUGCGUAGCCGACCUGAGAGGGUGAUCGGCCACACUGGAACUGAGACACGGUCCAGACUCCUACGGGAGGCAGCAGUUGGGAAUCUUCCGCAAUGGGCGAAAGCCUGACGGAGCAACGCCGCGUGAGUGAUGAAGGUCUUCGGAUCGUAAAACUCUGUUAUUAGGGAAGAACAAAUGUGUAAGUAACUAUGCACGUCUUGACGGUACCUAAUCAGAAAGCCACGGCUAACUACGUG
rnacentral:rRNA from 1 species